GCCCGGAUGGUGGAAUCGGUAGACACAAGGGAUUUAAAAUCCCUCGGCUUUCGCGCUGUGCGGGUUCAAGUCCCGCUCCGGGUACCA
rnacentral:tRNA from 1 species